rnacentral:rRNA from 1 species
UAGGGAAUUUUUCACAAUGAGCGAAAGCUUGAUGGAGCAAUGCCGCGUGAACGAUGAAGGUCUUUAAGAUUGUAAAGUUCUUUUAUUUGGGAAGAAUGACUUUAGCGGGUAAUGGCUAGAGUUUGACUGUACCAUUUUGAAUAAGUGACGACUAACUAUGUGCCAGCAGUCGCGGUAAUACAUAGGUCGCAAGCGUUAUCCGGAUUUAUUGGGCGUAAAGCAAGCGCAGGCGGAUUGAAAAGUCUGGUGUUAAAGGCAGCUGCUUAACAGUUGUAUGCAUUGGAAACUAUUAAUCUAGAGUGUGGUAGGGAGUUUUGGAAUUUCAUGUGGAGCGGUGAAAUGCGUAGAUAUAUGAAGGAACACCAGUGGCGGAGGCGAAAACUUAGGCCAUUACUGACGCUUAGGCUCGAAAGUGUGGGGAGCAAAUAGGAUUAGAUACCCUAGUAGUCCACACCGUAAACGAUAGAUACUAGCUGUCGGGGCGAUCCCCUCGGUAGUGAAGUUAACACAUUAAGUAUCUCGCCUGGGUAGUACAUUCGCAAGAAUG